rnacentral:rRNA from 1 species
GGCGAUCAGAUACCGCCCUAGUUCUAACCGUAAACGAUGACAACCAGCGAUUAAUCGGCGUUAAUUUAUGACCCGAUUAGCAGCUUCCGGGAAACCAAAGUUUUUCGUUUCCGGGGGAAGUAUGGUUGCAAAGCUGAAACUUAAAGGAAUUGACGGAAGGGCACCACCAGGAGUGGAGCCUGCGGCUUAAUUUGACUCAACACGGGAAAACUCACCCGGCCCGGACACCGUAAGGAUUGACAGACUGAGAGCUCUUUCUUAAUUCGGUGGGUGGUGGUGCAUGGCCGUUCUUAGUUGGUGGAGCGAUUUGUCUGGUUAAUUCCGAUAACGAACGAGACUCUGGCCUAUUAAAUAGACGGUAUAUUUAAAAGUAUAUCGCACUUCUUAGAGGGACAAGCGGCGUCUAGCCGCAUGAAAUAGAGCAAUAACAGGUCUGUGAUGCCCUUAGAUGUCCGGGGCUGCACGCGCGCUACACUGAAAGAAUCAGUGGGCGUGAUACCUAGUUCGGAAGGACCGGGUAACCCAAGUAAAUUCUUUCGUGCUUGGGAUAGGGAAUUGCAAUUAUUUCCCUUAAACGAGGAAUUCCCAGUAAAUGCGGGUCAUAAGCUCGCGUUGAUUACGUCCCUGCCCUUUGUA